rnacentral:rRNA from 1 species
CCUACGGGUGGCUGCAGUGAGGAAUAUUGGUCAAUGGCCGGAAGCCUGAACCAGCCAAGUCGCGUGAGGGAUGACGGCCCUACGGGUUGUAAACUGCUUUUGUCCGGGAGCAAGACGCCUUUCGUGUCCUGCUUUGCAUGUACCUUAUGAAUAAGCAUCGGCUAAAUCCGUGCCAGCAGCCGCGGUAAUACGGAAGGUCCGGGCGUUAUCCGGAUUUAUUGGGUUUAAAGGGUGCGUAGGCCGCAGGUCAAGCCUGCUGUGAAAUGUCCGGGCUCAACCCGGGCCGCGCAGCGGAACCUGGGGUGCUUGAGUGCGCGGAGGGCAGGCGGAAUGCGUGGUGUAGCGGUGAAAUGCUUAGAUAUGACGAAGAACCCCGAUCGCGAAGGCAGCCUGCUGCAGCGGAACUGACGCUGAUGCACGAAAGCGUGGGUAUCGAACAGGAUUAGAUACCCUUGUAGUC